rnacentral:lncRNA from 1 species
UUAUUAUAUAUAAGUACACUGUAGCUGUCUUCAGAUACACCAGAAGAGGGCAUCAGAUCUCUUUACAGAUGGUUGUGAGCCACCAUGUGGUUGCUGGGAAUUGAACUCAUGACCUGUGGAAGAGCAGUCGGGUGCUCUUAACUGCUGAGCCAUCUCUCCAGCCCGUUUAAUUUUUAAUACAUGGUUAAAUUAUACAUCAGUUAUUUUAAAAUAUUGUGCCCUUUAUUAUUAAUCAGCAAAUAUUUAUUUUGUAUACCUAUUUUAAAGCUAUAAACCAGGGGCGUGGAGAUGCUCUCCGGUGGAAAAGCUUACACUACACUUGCACUUAGUGAGCGCAAACUCGGCCUCUGCGCUACAGAGCAUGUAAAACUUCCAUGAGAUGGAAAACACUGGAAACCGUCAAAACCUGCUUAACAGAUAAACUACUUUCCUUAGGAAACACUUAGGAAAAGACACUGGGAAAUGCCACUAUGUAGGGUACAGACCCAUGCGGACAAGAACCCAUAUAGCUCCUGUGAGAGGCUUCCGCUUAAUGUAUCAUCUUACCUGGUUUUCACCAGUAUUUUUUUUUUUUUUCCUUUUUUUUCGGAGCUGGGGACCGAACCCAGGGCCUUGCGCUUCCUAGGCAAGCGCUCUACCACUGAGCUAAAUCCCCAGCCCUUCACCAGUAUUUUAAAUGUAAUAUACAGAAAAAGUACUCAAGAUUUUCUGAAUGUAUACACAGCAUUUGGGUCAGACUUGGGAGGUUAUUAAUUGAUAUACUACAUUGAUACAUUGCUCAAGAUCACCUUCUGGAUCAGAAAAGGAUUGGGAGAGGCCAGGUUUCGUGUCACAGACCCAGUGGUGACAACAGAAGAAUGAUCACCGCCCUGGAGCCUAUGGAGCCCAGUGCCCCUCUC